rnacentral:lncRNA from 1 species
UUUUUAUUAAUUAUAUAAAAAAUUAUUUAAAAAAAUAAAUAUAAUUAUAUGAUAAAAAAAUAUUUUAUGCUGUUAGUACAUUAAAAUUAAAUUCAUAUAUUAAGAAAGCGAGUAGCUUUCAAUUAUUGUCCCAAGUAGCUAUCAUACACAUAGACAUGACAAUUGCGCAAUGGACUAGACACCACAACUUUUAUGAGUAUCACUAUUAGUUAUCUAAAGUGGAUUUCUCUCUUUGUCUUCUAAAUCCUCUCCUCGUGAUGCUUCUCUUCGCGUGUUUUUUAUUUGUUUUAUUUCAUAUUUCUUUUUCAAUUCCCUUCCUAACUUUAC